AUCUACUGCCAUGCCACCCUGAACAAGUACAAUCCUGUCUUGAUCUAGGAAGCUAAGCAGGGUCAGGCCUGGUUAGUACUUGGAUGGGAGACCACCUAGGAAGACCAGGUGCUAUAGGUG
rnacentral:rRNA from 1 species